rnacentral:rRNA from 1 species
GAACCAGCGGAGGGAUCAUUACCGAGUUUACAACUCCCAAACCCAAUGUGAACGUUACCAAACUGUUGCCUCGGCGGGAUCUCUGCCCCGGGUGCGUCGCAGCCCCGGACCAAGGCGCCCGCCGGAGGACCAACCAAAACUCUUAUUGUAUACCCCCUCGCGGGUUUUUUUUAUAAUCUGAGCCUUCUCGGCGCCUCUCGUAGGCGUUUCGAAAAUGAAUCAAAACUUUCAACAACGGAUCUCUUGGUUCUGGCAUCGAUGAAGAACGCAGCGAAAUGCGAUAAGUAAUGUGAAUUGCAGAAUUCAGUGAAUCAUCGAAUCUUUGAACGCACAUUGCGCCCGCCAGUAUUCUGGCGGGCAUGCCUGUCCGAGCGUCAUUUCAACCCUCGAACCCCUCCGGGGGGUCGGCGUUGGGGAUCGGCCCUGCCUUGGCGGUGGCCGUCUCCGAAAUACAGUGGCGGUCUCGCCGCAGCCUCUCCUGCGCAGUAGUUUGCACACUCGCAUCGGGAGCGCGGCGCGUCCACAGCCGUUAAACACCCAACUUCUGAAUGUUGACCUCGGAUCAGGUAGGAAUACCCGCUGAACUUAAGCAUAUCAAUAAGCGGAGGAAA